UCCGUAGGUGAACCUGCGGAAGGAUCAUUAGUGAAUAUAGGAUGUCCAACUUAACUUGGAGUCCGAACUCUCACUUUCUAACCCUGUGCAUUUGUUUGGGAUAGUAGCCUCUCGGGGUGAACUCCUAUUCACUUAUAAACACAAAGUCUAUGAAUGUAUUUAAUUUAUAACAAAAUAAAACUUUCAACAACGGAUCUCUUGGCUCUCGCAUCGAUGAAGAACGCAGCGAAAUGCGAUAAGUAAUGUGAAUUGCAGAAUUCAGUGAAUCAUCGAAUCUUUGAACGCACCUUGCGCUCCAUGGUAUUCCGUGGAGCAUGCCUGUUUGAGUGUCAUUAAAUUCUCAACCUCACCAGUUUUCUGAACUGACUGAGGCUUGGAUGUGGGGGUUUGUGCAGGCUGCCUCACCGGCGGUCUGCUCCCCUGAAAUGCAUUAGCGAGGUUCAUGCUGGACCUCCGUCUAUUGGUGUGAUAAUUAUCUACGCCGUGGACGAGGAUACAGACUCGCUUCUAACCGUCCGCGAGGACAAUACCUUGACAAUUUGACCUCAAAUCAGGUAGGACUACCCGCUGAACUUAAGCAUAUCAAUAAGCGGAGGAAAAGAAACUAACAAGGAUUCCCCUAGUAACUGCGAGUGAAGCGGGAAAAGCUCAAAUUUAAAAUCUGGCGGUCUUUGGCCGUCCGAGUUGUAAUCUAGAGAAGUGUUACCCGCGUCGGACCGUGUACAAGUCUCCUGGAAUGGAGCGUCAUAGAGGGUGAGAAUCCCGUCUUUGACACGGACUACCGAGGCAUUGUGGUGCGCUCUCAAAGAGUCGAGUUGUUUGGGAAUGCAGCUCAAAAUGGGUGGUAAAUUCCAUCUAAAGCUAAAUAUUGGCGAGAGACCGAUAGCGAACAAGUACCGUGAGGGAAGGAUGAAAAGAACUUUGGAAAGAGAGUUAAACAGUACGUGAAAUUGCUGAAAGGGAAACGCUUGAAGUAAUCUAGAUGCAU
rnacentral:rRNA from 1 species